rnacentral:SRP_RNA from 1 species
AGCGUGGGCUCAGACGGCGUCAUGUUCCGAACCUGGUCAGGUCUUGACGGAAGCAGCCAUAAGGGGCCGCUGACGAGCGUCUGAGCCCACCUGCAA